rnacentral:rRNA from 1 species
GACAGAGGAUGCAAGCGUUAUCCGGAAUGAUUGGGCGUAAAGCGUCUGUAGGUGGCUUUUUUAAGUCCGCCGUCAAAUCCCAGGGCUCAACCCUGGACAGGCGGUGGAAACUACCAAGCUGGAGUACGGUAGGGGCAGAGGGAAUUUCCGGUGGAGCGGUGAAAUGCGCAGAUAUCAGGAGGAACACCGGUGGCGAAGGCGGUUCUCUGGGCAUGUCCUGACGCUGAGGAGCGAAAGUGUGGGGAGCGAACAGG